rnacentral:misc_RNA from 1 species
UACGUAGGGGGCAAGCGUUAUCCGGAUUUACUGGGUGUAAAGGGAGCGUAGGUGGUCUGGUAAGUCAGGUGGGAAAGCCCGGGGCUCAACCCCGGGAUUGCACUUGAAACUAUCAGGCUAGAGUGCAGGAGAGGUAAGUGGAAUUCCUAGUGUAGCGGUGAAAUGCGUAGAUAUUAGGAGGAACACCAGUGGCGAAGGCGGCUUACUGGACUGUAACUGACACUGAGGCUCGAAAGCGUGGGGAGCAAACAGG